rnacentral:rRNA from 1 species
AACGAACGCUGGCGGCAUGCCUAACACAUGCAAGUCGAACGAGACCUUCGGGUCUAGUGGCGCACGGGUGCGUAACGCGUGGGAAUCUGCCCUUGGGUUCGGAAUAACAGUUAGAAAUGACUGCUAAUACCGGAUAAUGUCUUCGGACCAAAGAUUUAUCGCCCAGGGAUGAGCCCGCGUAGGAUUAGCUAGUUGGUGAGGUAAAGGCUCACCAAGGCGACGAUCCUUAGCUGGUCUGAGAGGAUGAUCAGCCACACUGGGACUGAGACACGGCCCAGACUCCUACGGGAGGCAGCAGUGGGGAAUAUUGGACAAUGGGGGCAACCCUGAUCCAGCAAUGCCGCGUGAGUGAUGAAGGCCUUAGGGUUGUAAAGCUCUUUUGCCAGGGAAGAUGAUGACUGUACCUGGAGAAUAAGCCCCGGCUAACUUCGUGCCAGCAGCC